CACGUAGGGCGCAAGCGUUGUCCGGAAUUAUUGGGCGUAAAGAGCUCGUAGGCGGUCUGUUGCGUCCGCUGUGAAAACUCGGGGCUUAACCCCGAGCCUGCAGUGGAUACGGGCAGACUAGAGGUAGGUAGGGGAGAAUGGAAUUCCCGGUGUAGCGGUGAAAUGCGCAGAUAUCGGGAGGAACACCAGUGGCGAAGGCGAUCUUCUGGACGGAUACUGACGCUGAGGCGCGAAAGCUAGGGGAGCAAACGGG
rnacentral:rRNA from 1 species